rnacentral:lncRNA from 1 species
AAGUAAACGAACACGAAAUUCAAAGGGAAACAGGAGCAAUCAUCAUUACCAGCUGCCGUGUUAAGCAUUGCGAAAACGCUCACGAUUCACAGAAAAAUCCAUGCUGUUCUUUGAAGGCAUUCAAGCCUUAAUAGCUAGCUGGAUGAAUGUUUAACUUCUAGGCCAGGCACUACUCUGUCCCAACAAUAAGCCCUGUACAUUGGGAAAGGUGCCGAGACAUGAACUUUGGUCUUCUCUGCAAUCCAUCUGGAGCAUUCACUGACAACAUCGACUUUGAAGUUGCACUGACCUGGCCAGCCCUGCCACUUACCAGGUUGGGCUGUGGCUUGCCUUUUCACUUCUUGUGUCCUGUUUAAGAAAUAUCUGCUAUCCCAAGCAUCUGGCAUCUUUCUUGACAUAUGUAGCAGUUGCUUUUUGACAGCUUGCUUCUUCAGUGAAUGAAUAAAUUAAUAAAGAGAAAUGUGAUGUUCAGUGAUCCAUUUUGCAGAUAACACUAACAAAGUUGACCUUAGAAUUGGAGUGCCUGGGUUAGAACCCUGCUGGUACCACCUGCUUACUGCAUGCUUCUGAUGUGAGUUCAGGAGAAGACACUGGCAAGGACAGCAAAGAACAGGAGAACACUCUAGCUUCCCUGAUAGCAUUCAAGGUGCUGUCCAAACUGACUGUGAUGGCACCCUCCAGACAGACAGCGAUGCCACAUGUUCAAGAUGGCAGAAUCACUAUCAGCUUCAAUUCCUGAAUGACUGCAGAGCAAAAUUUCUUACCUGCAACAUACACUCUAUUUUCAGCCUCCCUGGACUGUUACAUAAUGAUACAUAAAAAUAUUUCUUGUGUUGAGGCAUCCCAAAUUUGAUUUAUUUGUCAUCACAGUCUAUCCUAUGAAUAUAUUUCUGAUCCAAAUAAUGCUAGAUUCAUGAGAGUUUAUAGUCCAGAGAUUUUUUUUUUUUUUUUGAGACAGAAUCUGUCUCCCAGGCUGGGGUGCAGUGGCAUAAUCUUAGCUCACUGCAACCUCUGCCUCCCGGGCUCAAGUGAUCCUCCCUCCUUAGCCUCCAUGAGUAGCUGGGACCACAGGUGUGCACCACCACACCCCGCUAAUUAUUUUGUAUUUUUUGCAGAGGGGGGUUUCACCACAUUGCCCAAGCUGGUCUCAAACUCCUAGACUUAAGGGAUCUGCCUGCCUUGGCCUCCCAAAAUGCUGAAAUUACACUUGUUAGCCAUAGUAAUAGUUCCUAGCCAUAGUCCGGAGAUAUUUUAAAAACUUUAGUGUGAGUUAUUUCUCUUUGCUAUAAUUCUCUCAUGCAUUUUGAAAACCUUUUCUGCCAUACAGUGGUUUUUGGGAAGUCCUUUUGGACAGACAUAUCACAGGAUGGAGAAACUAAAAAGAGAGAAUGCAUUAAAGAAAAAA